rnacentral:piRNA from 1 species
UGAUGGGAGGAACAGAGGUGCUCAGG